rnacentral:rRNA from 1 species
GGCGUUAAGUUGCAGGGUAUAGACCCGAAACCCGGUGAUCUAGCCAUGGGCAGGUUGAAGGUUGGGUAACACUAACUGGAGGACCGAACCGACUAAUGUUGAAAAAUUAGCGGAUGACCUGUGGCUGGGGGUGAAAGGCCAAUCAAACCGGGAGAUAGCUGGUUCUCCCCGAAAGCUAUUUAGGUAGCGCCUCGUGAAUUCAUCUCCGGGGGUAGAGCACUGUUUCGGCUAGGGGGCCAUCCCGGCUUACCAACCCGAUGCAAACUGCGAAUACCGGAGAAUGUUAUCACGGGAGACACACGGCGGGUGCUAACGUCCGUCGUGAAGAGGGAAACAACCCAGACCGCCAGCUAAGGUCCCAAAGUCAUGGUUAAGUGGGAAACGAUGUGGGAAGGCCCAGACAGCCAGGAUGUUGGCUUAGAAGCAGCCAUCAUUUAAAGAAAGCGUAAUAGCUCACUGGUCGAGUCGGCCUGCGCGGAAGAUGUAACGGGGCUAAACCAUGCACCGAAGCUGCGGCAGCGACGCUUAUGCGUUGUUGGGUAGGGGAGCGUUCUGUAAGCCUGCGAAGGUGGCCUGUGAGGGUUGCUGGAGGUAUCAGAAGUGCGAAUGCUGACAUAAGUAACGAUAAAGCGGGUGAAAAGCCCGCUCGCCGGAAGACCAAGGGUUCCUGUCCAACGUUAAUCGGGGCAGGGUGAGUCGACCCCUAAGGCGAGGCCGAAAGGCGUAGUCGAUGGGAAACGGGUUAAUAUUCCCGUACUUGGUGUUACUGCGAAGGGGGGACGGAGAAGGCUAUGUUGGCCGGGCGACGGUUGUCCCGGUUUAAGCGUGUAGGUGUGUGUUCCAGGUAAAUCCGGUUCACUUUAACACUGAGGCGUGACGACGAGGCACUACGGUGCUGAAGCAACAAAUGCCCUGCUUCCAGGAAAAGCCUCUAAGCAUCAGGUAACAUCAAAUCGUACCCCAAACCGACACAGGUGGUCAGGUAGAGAAUACCAAGGCGCUUGAGAGAACUCGGGUGAAGGAACUAGGCAAAAUGGUGCCGUAACUUCGGGAGAAGGCACGCUGACACGUAGGUGAAGUGAUUUACUCAUGGAGCUGAAGUCAGUCGAAGAUACCAGCUGGCUGCAACUGUUUAUUAAAAACACAGCACUGUGCAAACACGAAAGUGGACGUAUACGGUGUGACGCCUGCCCGGUGCCGGAAGGUUAAUUGAUGGGGUCAGCGCAAGCGAAGCUCCUGAUCGAAGCCCCGGUAAACGGCGGCCGUAACUAUAACGGUCCUAAGGUAGCGAAAUUCCUUGUCGGGUAAGUUCCGACCUGCACGAAUGGCGUAAUGAUGGCCAGGCUGUCUCCACCCGAGACUCAGUGAAAUUGAACUCGCUGUGAAGAUGCAGUGUACCCGCGGCAAGACGGAAAGACCCCGUGAACCUUUACUAUAGCUUGACACUGAACAUUGAGCCUUGAUGUGUAGGAUAGGUGGGAGGCUUUGAAGUGUGGACGCCAGUCUGCAUGGAGCCGACCUUGAAAUACCACCCUUUAAUGUUUGAUGUUCUAACGUGGACCCGUUACCCGGGUUGCGGACAGUGUCUGGUGGGUAGUUUGACUGGGGCGGUCUCCUCCUAAAGAGUAACGGAGGAGCACGAAGGUUGGCUAAUCCUGGUCGGACAUCAGGAGGUUAGUGCAAUGGCAUAAGCCAGCUUGACUGCGAGCGUGACGGCGCGAGCAGGUGCGAAAGCAGGUCAUAGUGAUCCGGUGGUUCUGAAUGGAAGGGCCAUCGCUCAACGGAUAAAAGGUACUCCGGGGAUAACAGGCUGAUACCGCCCAAGAGUUCAUAUCGACGGCGGUGUUUGGCACCUCGAUGUCGGCUCAUCACAUCCUGGGGCUGAAGUAGGUCCCAAGGGUAUGGCUGUUCGCCAUUUAAAGUGGUACGCGAGCUGGGUUUAGAACGUCGUGAGACAGUUCGGUCCCUAUCUGCCGUGGGCGCUGGAGAACUGAGGGGGGCUGCUCCUAGUACGAGAGGACCGGAGUGGACGCAUCACUGGUGUUCGGGUUGUCAUGCCAAUGGCACUGCCCGGUAGCUAAAUGCGGAAGAGAUAAGUGCUGAAAGCAUCUAAGCACGAAACUUGCCCCGAG